rnacentral:rRNA from 1 species
CGGGACACGUGGUAUCCUGUCUGAAUAUGGGGGGACCAUCCUCCAAGGCUAAAUACUCCUGACUGACCGAUAGUGAACCAGUACCGUGAGGGAAAGGCGAAAAGAACCCCGGCGAGGGGAGUGAAAAAGAACCUGAAACCGUGUACGUACAAGCAGUGGGAGCCUCUUUAUGGGGUGACUGCGUACCUUUUGUAUAAUGGGUCAGCGACUUAUAUUCUGUAGCAAGGUUAACCGAAUAGGGGAGCCGAAGGGAAACCGAGUCUUAACUGGGCGUUAAGUUGCAGGGUAUAGACCCGAAACCCGGUGAUCUAGCCAUGGGCAGGUUGAAGGUUGGGUAACACUAACUGGAGGACCGAACCGACUAAUGUUGAAAAAUUAGCGGAUGACUUGUGGCUGGGGGUGAAAGGCCAAUCAAACCGGGAGAUAGCUGGUUCUCCCCGAAAGCUAUUUAGGUAGCGCCUCGUGAAUUCAUCUCCGGGGGUAGAGCACUGUUUCGGCAAGGGGGUCAUCCCGACUUACCAACCCGAUGCAAACU